rnacentral:lncRNA from 1 species
CUGUUAGAUGUAACCAAAUUCAAAACAGACUUUUUCCUUCAGUUCUUGUUGCUGUUUCUGGGUCGCUCUGCGUGGCUUUCAAGUGCACGUUGUCUAGUCCGGAGGCAGCGAUCCGCAAGAGUAAGCGGAAGUUCACAGCUGCUAGGGAAACGGCCUCCGCUGAAAUCGGCGUGUGUGGCUCCAUGACAUUUCCCAGCUUUUAUCAAAGAAUAUUAUGGCAAAAUGAACAACCAACUACAAGAACCCGAAAGCUAUGAAACAAAUUUCUUUCUCUAACUGCUCAAACACAGUCGAGAUUAAACUCCAAACAACCUGAGAUGUGAAACAUUUGAGUCCAUGUAUAUAAUUUUUUUUCAUCAAAAAAUAAUAAAUAAAAAGCAUUCUAAACCUGUUUUCCACAAAACUAAACAUUUGAUAACCA